rnacentral:rRNA from 1 species
ACUCAAAUGAAUUGACGGGGGCCCGCACAAGCGGUGGAACAUGUGGUUCAAUUCGAUGCUACGCGAAGAACCUCACCAAGGCUUGACAUGCAGGAAGUAUGAAGCUGAAAGGUGGAAGACCUGUCAAGUCAGGAGCCUGCACAGGUGCUACAUGACUGUCGUCAGCUCGUGUCGUGAGAUGUUGGGUUAAGUCCCGCAACGAGCGUAACCCCUGUUUCUAGUUGCCACUUUCAAAGCCGCAAGGCCGAGAAAAGCACUCUAGAGAGACUGCUCGGGAUAACCGAGAGGAAGGUGGGGAUGACGUCAAGUCCGUAUGGCCUUUAUGCCUUGGGCUACACACGUGUUACAAUGGCUACUACAAAGCGUCGCCAACCCGCGAGGGGGAGCUAAUCGCAAAAAAGUAGCCUCAGUUCAGAUCGGAGUCUGCAACCCGACUCCGUGAAGCCGGAAUCGCUAGUAAUGGCGGAUCAGCUACGCCGCCGUGAAUACGUUCCCGGGCCUUGUACACACCGCCCGU